GACGAACGCUGGCGGCGUGCUUAACACAUGCAAGUCGAACAGGGCGAACGGGUGAGUAAUACGUGGGUAACCUGGCUCAUAGAGGGGGAUAACAGCGAGAAAUUUCUGCUAAUACCGCAUACUAUGAGAUGGACCCGCGUCUGAUUAGCCACUUGGCAGGUGAAGAGCCUCUCAAAGCGACGAUCAGUAGCCGAUCUGAGAGGAUGAACGGCCACAUUGGGACUGAGACACGGCCCAAACUCCGACGGGAGGCAGAAGUGGGGGAUAUUGCACAAUGGGGGGAACCCUGAGGCAGCGACGCCGCGUGAGUGAAGAAGUAUUUCGGUAUGUAAAGCUCUAUCAGCAGGGAAGCAGUACCUGAAUAAGAAGCCCCGGCUAACUACGUGCCAGCCGCCGCGGUAAUUC
rnacentral:rRNA from 1 species